UUGAACGCUGGCGGCAUGCCUUACACAUGCAAGUCGAACGGUAACAGGUCUUCGGACGCUGACGCGUGGCGAACGGGUGAGUAAUGCAUCGGAACGUGCCCAGUCGUGGGGGAUAACUGCUCGAAAGAGCAGCUAAUACCGCAUACGACCUGAGGGUGAAAGCGGGGGACCGUAAGGCCUCGCGCGAUUGGAGCGGCCUAUGUCAGAUUAGCUAGUUGGUGGGGUAAAGGCCUACCAAGGCAACGAUCUGUAGUUGGUCUGAGAGGACGACCAGCCACACUGGGAAUGAGAAACGGCCCAGACUCCUACGGGAGGCAGAAGUGGGGAAUUUUGGACAAUGGGCGCAAGCCUGAUCCAGCAAUGCCGCGUGCAGGAAGAAGGCAUUCGGGUUGUAAACUGCUUUUGUCAGGGAAGAAAUCUUAUGGGCUAAUACCCCGGGAGGAUGACGGUACCUGAAGAAUAAGCACCGGAUAACUAAGUG
rnacentral:rRNA from 1 species